rnacentral:sRNA from 1 species
AAGUAGGCGCGUUAGGGAUUGAGGCGGUAUCCUUUUUAUUGCGCCCGAAAGGCGAAAAUAAAAAGAUAUAGCCGAAAGCCCGGCCGCAG